AAGCCACAACCAUGGACAAUGGCGACCGCAUCCAAGAGAUUGAAGACCGAUCAUCGGCCACCGCCUCGCCGGAAUGUAGCUUCAUCGGAUGAAAAGAACGACAAAGCUGCAAUACCAGCAGGUGGAUUGCAGGCUCCUGUGGCUCAAACAAGUGGAUCCCAUUUGA